rnacentral:rRNA from 1 species
CCUGACGGUAGUCGUAUGCUCGUCUCCGAGACUAAGCCAUGCAAGUCCAAGUACACGUCCUUGAACGACGGAAACUGCGAACGGCUCAUUAAAUCAGUUGCGAUCUACUCGGCGUUCCGCGCCGCCGGAUAACCGUAGUAAUUCUAGGGCUAAUACGUGCGAAGCGCCCGAAGCCGCGAGGCGACGGGCGUUCUCGCCGGAUGUAGGAACCGACCCGGGGACCGCCGGGGCAACCCGGCGCCCCCGAGACGGGGCGAACCACGGUGAAAUGACGGAUCGUCGGCCCCGCGCCGGCGACUCGCCGAAUGAGUUUCUGACCUAUCAACUCGAGACGGCGGGGUAGAGGCCCGCCGCGGUAACGACGGGUAACGGGGAAUCAGGGUUCGAUUCCGGAGAGGGAGCCCGAGAAACGGCUACCACUUCCAAGGAAGGCAGCAGGCGCGCAACUUACCCUAAUCU